CCGACGGUGAGAGACGAAAGCUGGGGGAGCAAACCGGAUUAGAUACCCGGGUAGUCCCAGCCGUAAACGAUGUGCGUUAGGUGUAUCGGUGACCACGAGUCACCGAGGUGCCGAAGAGAAAUCGUGAAACGUACCGCCUGGGAAGUACGGUCGCAAGGCUGAAACUUAAAGGAAUUGGCGGGGGAGCACCACAACAGGUGGAGCCUGCGGUUUAAUCGGACUCAACGCCGGGAAACUCACCAGAUAAGACAGCUGAAUGAUAGUCGGGCUGAAGACUCUACUUGACUAGCUGAGAGGAGGUGCAUGGCCGUCGUCAGUUCGUACUGUGAAGCAUCCUGUUAAGUCAGGCAACGAGCGAGACCCACGCAACAGUUGCUA
rnacentral:rRNA from 1 species